UACGGGGGGGGCAAGCGUUGUUCGGAAUUACUGGGCGUAAAGGGCUCGUAGGCGGCCAACUAAGUCAGACGUGAAAUCCCCCGGCUUAACCUGGGAACUGCGUCUGAUACUGGACGGCUAGAGUUUGGGAGAGGGAUGCAGAAUUCCAGGUGUAGCGGUGAAAUGCGUAGAUAUCUGGAGGAAUACCGGUGGCGAAGGCGGCAUCCUGGACCAACACUGACACUGAAUCGCGAAAGCUAGGGGAGCAAACGGG
rnacentral:rRNA from 1 species